AGAUUCCCUGAGUAGCGGCGAGCGAAACGGGAUAAGCCCAUCACAAAGUCCUCUUUCUUUUAACGAGAUUGUUGGAAAUGCUGUGUCAAUGUGAAUUCAUUAUCUUAUAUGCAUAUGGUACGCUUAAGUUCAUCUUGAAUGGGGCCAUUUACCCACAGAGGGUGCCAGGCCCGUAUAGCUACUAUUGUAUAUUAGAGAAUUUUGCAUCAGAGUCGUGUUGCUUGAUAGUGCAGCACUAAGUGGGUGGUAAACUCCAUCUAAGGCUAAAUAUAACC
rnacentral:rRNA from 1 species